GAUGAAGAACGCAGCGAAAUGCGAUACGUAAUGUGAAUUGCAGAAUUCAGUGAAUCAUCGAGUCUUUGAACGCACAUUGCGCCCCCUGGUAUUUCGGGGGGCAUGCCUGUCCGAGCGUCAUUGCUGCCCUCAAGCACGGCUUGUGUGUUGGGCCUCCGUCCUCCUCCCGGGGGACGGGCCCGAAAGGCAGCGGCGGCACCGCGUCCGGUCCUCGAGCGUAUGGGGCUUCGUCACCCGCUCUUGUAGGCCCGGCCGGCGCUUGCCGACACAUCAAUCUUUUUUCCAGGUUGACCUCGGAUCAGGUAGGGAUACCCGCUGAACUUAAGCAUAUCAAUAAGCGGAGGA
rnacentral:misc_RNA from 1 species